rnacentral:rRNA from 21 species
GCGACCCCAGGAUGGGCGAGGCCACCCGCCGAGUUU